CUCUUCACUAAGUUUUAUUAUUUCUCUUCAGAGAUGAUGAAGAGUUCUGGGUUUGCUGAUAGCAGUCCCUACUCCCAGGCAUAAGGUGUCCUGUGAAGGUUACCAACAGGAAGCAUCUGGAAACAGAAAGUGUUUAUUGGGCAGAAGAUACUCCUGUUGGCAGUGGGCUAAGGGAGAUGGCAGAUGUCAUCCUGUGAGAAGCCUGGGGGAAAAGUGAAGACGUGACCUCAAACUGUACUUCUGCCUUCAGCCUGGCAGCAAAAAUCGCCCUCUGCACCCACCUCAUUACGUGUUGUGCCUAACACCUGCAUCAGCCAACACUAAAGAUGCUGCAGUCAACGUGAAAUGUAAAUAGAUAGAGUUCAUUGUUCAGUGGUUUUGUGCUCCCAGUCUUCACAAUACACUUAUCUGGCAUUGUGAGUGGCUGGCAGAGAUGCAGGUUUCAUAAGGAAAAGGACAACAGGGACCUGUU